rnacentral:rRNA from 1 species
CCUACGGGUGGCAGCAGUGGGGAAUAUUGGACAAUGGGCGAAAGCCUGAUCCAGCCAUGCCGCGUGUGUGAAGAAGGCCUUCGGGUUGUAAAGCACUUUCAGUGGGGAAGAAAGCCUUGGGGCUAAUACCCUCGAGGAAGGACAUCACCCACAGAAGAAGCACCGGCUAACUCCGUGCCAGCAGCCGCGGUAAUACGGAGGGUGCGAGCGUUAAUCGGAAUUACUGGGCGUAAAGCGCGCGUAGGCGGUCUGAUAAGCCGGUUGUGAAAGCCCCGGGCUCAACCUGGGAACGGCAUCCGGAACUGUCAGGCUAGAGUGCAGGAGAGGAAGGUAGAAUUCCCGGUGUAGCGGUGAAAUGCGUAGAGAUCGGGAGGAAUACCAGUGGCGAAGGCGGCCUUCUGGACUGUCACUGACGCUGAGGUGCGAAAGCGUGGGUAGCAAACAGGAUUAGAUACCCUGGUAGUC